rnacentral:rRNA from 1 species
GUCUCUUUCCUCUGUCGGAUUUUUAAUUCAACAUCGAGGUCAUAAGCUCUCCGUUCAAUAAGAGCUUUAAGGAGAAUUAUGCUGUUACCCCCGAAGUAAUUUACUCUUUCCCUCCGUUAAGGGGUCCUGCUGUCCGUUUUCUUCGUUCAUAUUAAUUUAGAUUCGUUCUUCUUUAAAUCCGCCGUCCCAGCUAAACUUUUUAUUUUUUUUACCUGCCUUGGUUGUUUUACAUAGUUAAAUUUUACGGGGUCUUAUCGUCCCUGAGUUUUGACUAAGGGUUUUAACUUAGAACCUAAUUUCGUUUUAUUUUAAGAACAGUUGCCUUGCCAUUCAACCGUUUAUACAAGCCUUAAAUUAAAAAGCAAACUACUACGCUACCUUAGUAUAGUCAGAGUACUAUAGCCCUUUAUUAUUCUCAGGGGGCAGGUUAKACCUGGUGCGAUGUUCUACAGGACAUGUUU